GCGCCAGUAGCUCAGCUGGAUAGAGCAACGCCCUUCUAAGGCGUGGGUCAGGGGUUCGAAUCCCAUCUGGCGUGCCA
rnacentral:tRNA from 1 species